rnacentral:sRNA from 1 species
UACUGCUGCCCUAACGGGCGUUUCCUCCCUUGACUUGGCCGCCGGUCCUGUGGGAUCGGCGGUUCUCUUCGCUAUCU